rnacentral:piRNA from 1 species
UUGGCUUCAGUGAACUCAAUGGGAUGGCCA